CAAUGGACGAAAGUCUGACGGAGCAACGCCGCGUGAGUGAUGAAGGUUUUCGGAUCGUAAAGCUCUGUUGUUAGGGAAGAACAAGUGCCGUUCAAAUAGGGCGGCACCUUGACGGUACCUAACCAGAAAGCCACGGCUAACUACGUGCCAGCAGCCGCGGUAAUACGUAGGUGGCAAGCGUUGUCCGGAAUUAUUGGGCGUAAAGGGCUCGCAGGCGGUUUCUUAAGUCUGAUGUGAAAGCCCCCGGCUCAACCGGGGAGGGUCAUUGGAAACUGGGGAACUUGAGUGCAGAAGAGGAGAGUGGAAUUCCACGUGUAGCGGUGAAAUGCGUAGAGAUGUGGAGGAACACCAGUGGCGAAGGCGACUCUCUGGUCUGUAACUGACGCUGAGGAGCGAAAGCGUGGGGAGCGAACAGGAUUAGAUACCCUGGUAGUCCACGCCGUAAACGAUGAGUGCUAAGUGUUAGGGGGUUUCCGCCCCUUAGUGCUGCAGCUAACGCAUUAAGCACUCCGCCUGGGGAGUACGGUCGCAAGACUGAAACUCAAAGGAAUUGACGGGGGCCCGCACAAGCGGUGGAGCAUGUGGUUUAAUUCGAAGCAACGCGAAGAACCUUACCAGGUCUUGACAUCCUCUGACAAUCCUAGAGAUAGGACGUCCCCUUCGGGGGCAGAGUGACAGGUGGUGCAUGGUUGUCGUCAGCUCGUGUCGUGAGAUGUUGGGUUAAGUCCCGCAACGAGCGCAACCCUUGAUCUUAGUUGCCAGCAUUCAGUUGGGCACUCUAAGGUGACUGCCGGUGACAAACCGGAGGAAGGUGGGGAUGACGUCAAAUCAUCAUGCCCCUUAUGACCUGGGCUACACACGUGCUACAAUGGACAGAACAAAGGGCAGCGAAACCGCGAGGUUAAGCCAAUCCCACAAAUCUGUUCUCAGUUCGGAUCGCAGUCUGCAACUCGACUGCGUGAAGCUGGAAUCGCUAGUAAUCGCGG
rnacentral:rRNA from 1 species